AUCGCUUCUCGGCCUUUUGGCUAAGAUCAAGUGUAAAAUCGGGAGGUCAUGUCAAACAGAAUCAAGGCAAAAAUUUGCACAUUCACUCACUCAACAAACAUUUCCUGAGUGAUGGCUAUGUGUCUUUUAUGUCUGUGCUUUUAACAUUUAUGUGAGCCACAUAUGAAUUUUUAAAUACAUAUA